AAAGAAUUAGUUAAAAUAACAUUAAAUUGUCAAUUUAAAAUUAUUAUGUCAAUAAUAUUCUUUU
rnacentral:tRNA from 1 species